UCAGGAGGUGUUUACGUAUCGAACGUGUUUAAUUUAUGAUACAGAGUUAUCUGAACGUUUGAGUUUAUUUGUGUGGUUUUGAUUUGUGCAGCCUUAUAAAAAACGAGAUAUAAAACUGAUAAUCUUACGCUAGAGGAAUAAGAUCCGGCUAUUCCAAAUUGCGGAUUGCCGGCUAUCAUACUAUCGGACAUGCAACACGUGUGUAUCCGCCCCAUUCGACGACUAGUAAGCUAUUGGCAUUGAAAAAAUCCCUGCUAUGCAACCGCCGUCCGGUAGCAGUAGAUGACUCUAUGUGUAAAAAUUUGCAGCAAGGUUCCGUCGCAAUUACGAGUUCAGCAACCGGAACCAACAUGUUACUGUGAAAAACUUCAUAAGUGCAGAUGAACAACGACACCAAGAUACAGCAAACGAGGAAGAGCCAUAAUGGGUGUCGGCAGGACAUACCUCUCGCCUGGGCACAAUCGAACUUUGUGGAUUCGAUGAAGAUACUUCAAUCAAGGCCUCGCCAAUCGAUUAGUCGCCGAAUGCUCAUAAAAAACAACGUUGAGAAUGCAACUGAUCCACCACAAAUGCAACAACAGCACAAAUCAACCCAACAGCCGCGUUAUCCAUCCCAACGUGAGCAUCAGUUCCAUACCCAAUCCAUAAUGCAGAACGCUUUACUCCGUAAAAAACUGCAGAAUCAACGCAAGGCGCUUUGUGAUCAGAACAGUCGAAUUGCUGCCGCUACCGCUGUAAUUAACAACGGUGAACCAAAUACAGUUGUGCAGCAAUUCGUACAAUCGAUUCGUCUAAACAUGCAACGUUCUUAGUCAGUUUUUUGGUUCUUAGUCAAACUGCUAACCGGCCGGUGACAAAUAUCCUAAUGGUAAAUAUUUCUCUGCAAAGCCGACUACAGGAGCAACUACUCUCCGUCACGCAAAAAUUGUGUCAACAGAAACGUGGUCCCAUGAGCGCUAGAACUUCUUAGGAAACAUCGAAUUCUACAGAUCAAUUCUUACAUGUUACGAGAGAACUGGAUUCUUACAAUGCAUUUACCAGUGCAGAAAUGGUUAUAUUUUGCAACAUUCAAAUUUAAUGAUGUUUUGUACUAUAUAUUACCGUUCCUCAUGAUUGUAUUUUUAUAUGUUUGUGGUUUUUCUUAAUAAAGUGCUUCGUUCCAUCA